GAACGCUGCCUGCCGUUGCCGGCCCGAUCGUUGGCGAAGCGGUCAUUGCGGCCGGGACGGUUGUCGGAGCGGUCGAACGAGGAGUCGCGGCCUUCGCGAUUGCGCUCCUUGCGCGGGGAGCGACGCUGGUCGCGAGAAUCGCCUACGCGCUCGGCGCCUUCGCCGUUCGCCGGCGCCGACGGCGCUUCGGACGCGUCCUUGGCGGGAGCGAUCGCGGCAUCUCCGCUUUCGAUCACGCGCGGCGCGCGGGUGCGACGGCGCGAACGCAUCUCGCGGGGCUGGAUAUCCUCGUCGGAUACGGCGGCCACAGCCGAUGCAGGCAGAGGCUCCGCCGCUGCGGGCGGCGUGGGGAUCUCCUUGCGUGCGGGUUCGGACGCGGCCUGCGCGGAUACGGCGGGCGCAGGAGCAGCUUCCUCGGGCCUGACCUUGCGCGGACGGCCGCGACGGCGCUUCGGUGCUUCGUCGGCGGGCGUUUCCGCAGCCGAAGCGGCCUCGGCAUCGGCGACGACCGGAGCCUUAGCCCUGGCACGCCGAGCGCGCGCCGGCUCCGCCUCGGUCGUAGGAGCGGCGUCCGCGGCUGCGGCCGCAUCGACCGCUACCUUGCGCGGACGGCCGCGGCGGCGCUUCGGCGCCUCGUCGGCGGGCGCCUGCGGAGCAGCCACGACGCUUGCGGCGGAAUCCUCGGCCUUCUUCGUGCGACGAACGCGUUUUCCGGGCUCUUCGCCCGUCGAAACCGAAAUGGCGGCUUCAGGCGAAGUCAGCUCUUCUUGGCUCAUGCGUUCACGACCUUCUCCCAAUCCUUCAUGAACGAUUCGAGGCCGCGAUCGGUCAGAGGAUGCUGGACCAUCUUCUUGAGCACGCCGAACGGCACCGUAGCGAUGUCGGCGCCCAUGAGGGCGGCCUGGGUCACGUGGUUGGCGCUGCGGAUGGAUGCGGCGAUGACCUCGACCUGUUCGCCGUUGACCGUGUUGUCGGAAUAAUCGUAAUUGCCGAUGGCGGUAACGACAUCUUCGAGCUGGGCCAGCCCGUCUUCGGAGAUAUCGUCGAAGCGGCCGACGAACGGCGAGAUGUAACGCGCGCCGGCACGGGCGGCGAGGAUGGCCUGCGGGACCGAGAAGCACAGCGUCAUGUUCACGCGGAUGCCCUCGUCGGCGAGAGUGCGGCAUGCGGCCAGGCCUUCGACCAUGGUCGGGAUCUUGACGACGACGUUCGGGGCGAUGGAUGCGAGGAUGCGGCCGUCGCGGACGAUGUCGUCGCGCGUCAUGGCGACGCUUUCCGCGCUGACCGGCCCGUCCACCACGUCGCAGAUGCGGGCGAUAUGGUCAUGGAAUCCGUCGAUCUUGCCGCCGAUGCGGGAGUAGAGCGUCGGGUUGGUGGUCACGCCCGCGAGCGCACCCCAGCUGGCGGC
rnacentral:rRNA from 1 species